rnacentral:rRNA from 1 species
AACGGGUGAGUAAUGCGUGACCAACCUGCCCCAUGCUCCAGAAUAGCUCUUGGAAACGGGUGGUAAUGCUGGAUGCUCCAACUUGACGCAUGUCUUGUUGGGAAAGUGUUUAGUGGCAUGGGAUGGGGUCGCGUCCUAUCAGCUUGUAGGUGGGGUAAUGGCCCACCUAGGCUUCGACGGGUAGCCGGCCUGAGAGGGCGGACGGCCACAUUGGGACUGAGAUACGGCCCAGACUCCUACGGGAGGCAGCAGCC